rnacentral:rRNA from 1 species
AGAGUUUGAUCCUGGCUCAGGACGAACGCUGGCGGCGUGCUUAACACAUGCAAGUCGAACGGACUGCGGGGGCUUGCCCCUGUGGUUAGUGGCGAACGGGUGAGUAACACGUGAGUAACCUGCCCCUGACUCUGGGAUAACUGCUGGAAACGGUGGCUAAUACCGGAUAUGAGACCCUGUCGCAUGGUGGGGUUUGGAAAGAUUUUUUGGUUGGGGAUGGACUCGCGGCCUAUCAGCUUGUUGGUGGGGUAAUGGCUCACCAAGGCGACGACGGGUAGCCGGCCUGAGAGGGCGACCGGCCACACUGGGACUGAGACACGGCCCAGACUCCUACGGGAGGCAGCAGUGGGGAAUAUUGCACAAUGGGCGGAAGCCUGAUGCAGCGACGCCGCGUGAGGGAUGAAGGCCUUCGGGUUGUAAACCUCUUUCAGCAGGGAAGAAGCGUGAGUGACGGUACCUGCAGAAGAAGCGCCGGCUAACUACGUGCCAGCAGCCGCGGUAAUACGUAGGGCGCAAGCGUUGUCCGGAAUUAUUGGGCGUAAAGAGCUCGUAGGCGGUUUGUCGCGUCUGCUGUGAAAACCUAAGGCUCAACCUUGGGCUUGCAGUGGGUACGGGCGGACUAGAGUGCGGUAGGGGUGACUGGAAUUCCUGGUGUAGCGGUGGAAUGCGCGAUAUCAGGAGGAACACCGAUGGCGAAGGCAGGUCACUGGGCCGCAACUGACGCUGAGGAGCGAAAGCAUGGGGAGCGAACAGGAUUAGAUACCCCAGUAGUCC